AUUUUGAAAGUUCCAAAAAAGUCCAUACCGGAGUUUUCAUGUUGUAUCCAUGGCUGUGGGUCCCAACACCAAAUAAGUAUCUUCCUAAAGGUAAACAGCGCAGGUUGAUAACCAGAGAACAAUGUUUCUAAUAUGGGACUAAAGUUAAUAAUGAUAAUAAUAAAAAUGAAAGAUUAGAUGGUGAGCAAGAAGGGAACUGUAAUGUAACAACCUCAUUUUUAUACCGUAGCAGAAAAUGUGCAAAUAUUUUUUGUAAAAAAAAAAAAAAAAAGUAAAAUUAUGCAAUUAGGAAGUAGAUGCAGACGCAUCUUAAUUUAAUGAGAAAUUUCUCAAACCAGAUUAAAUCAUUCUGAAGGUACAUCACAGAGAAUUGGAAUAUGCAUUCUGAAGAGUGAAAAUAACAACCUCUAAUCAGGUAUUAAACAUGCUUUGCAUUAAGCCCACAUUUCUGUAAUAAAACUAGUUUUUUUAUUGGUCUGAUGUAAUAUUCUCAUUUUUAAAUGUUGUUUUUCAUUAGCGGUGAACAGAAAAUCAUAAUCAACAGAAAUAAAGUCUUGAAAAGAAGUGCUUGCAUGUAACCAAUCUAUAUAAUGUGUUUUACUUAUUGAAUUGAGUUACUGAAUGGCUUUGAAGCAUAGUCUACACAUUUUCAGUAGCAUUCGGGUCAAAGGUUUGAGAAAGCCAUUUUAGAAGCUUAACAUUAGCCUGCUUUAUUCCUUCAAAAACUAUUUUGGAUAGUUGUUUGGAAUCAUUGUCCUGUUGGAAUGUCCUACUGUAUCCACGUUCUAGCUGUUUACAUGUCGAUUUGAUUAGAACUUCAAGAAUUUAGAGGUAGCCCUCAUUAAUUAUAUCUUUCACUUUGUGCCAUGCACUACUCAAAGCAAAACAGGCCCACAGCAUGAUACUGACACCAAUAUGCUUGGCACUUUGGACAGUAAUCUUAGGUUUGAAUUUCUCACCUUGUCUCCUCUAAACAUUCUUCUUCUCACUGUGCCCAUACAGCUCCAUCUUUGACUCGUCUCACCACAAACCUUUCUCCAGAAGACAUUUGGUUCAUCCAUUCUACACAGGUGUAAAACAUCCUUCACUGUGGACUCUGGUGGUGUUUCAGCAGUUUACAGUUCAUGCCAAAAGAAGACGGCCUGUUCUGUAAUGUCACAUUUAUGUCCACAAGGAAUCAGUUCAUACGUGAUGGUUGAGAUGAUGCUUUCUGUGCCCAGGAUGAUUUUCUGGUUCAUAACUCUAAGCACUACAAUGAAAUAAAGUUCUACUGAGCGUAAAAAAAACUUGUACAAGCUGUAUAUAAAGAUGUAUAAACAAGCUCUAAGCUGUAUAACCUACUGACAUCACACGUUUGAGUCACUGGUUAAUGCUUGAGAGCUUAGGAACAGUCCUCUUGCUUAUUGUGAGCUAACUGUCCUAACAUGACUAACAAUAUUCACAACUCCGCUUGGUCACAACCAGGUUGUUGUGAUGAAACUGAAGCCUUCAUCUCCUGGUAUAACCCUACACUAACCUCCAUAAACAAACGCCUCUACAGCCCAUAUAAGGUCAAGGAUUUUGCUUUGUGACUUGGACUUAUGUUUCCAUGUGGGCUGACUGAGGAAUAUUG